rnacentral:rRNA from 4 species
AACGACUCUCGGCAACGGAUAUCUCGGCUCUCGCAUCGAUGAAGAACGUAGCGAAAUGCGAUACUUGGUGUGAAUUGCAGAAUCCCGUGAACCAUCGAGUCUUUGAACGCAAGUUGCGCCCGAGGCCUUUGGCCGAGGGCACGUCUGCCUGGGCG